rnacentral:rRNA from 1 species
CACAUGCAAGUCGAACGGUAACAGGUCUUCGGACGCUGACGAGUGGCGAACGGGUGAGUAAUACAUCGGAACGUGCCCAGUCGUGGGGGAUAACUACUCGAAAGAGUAGCUAAUACCGCAUACGAUCUGAGGAUGAAAGCGGGGGACCUUCGGGCCUCGCGCGAUUGGAGCGGCCGAUGGCAGAUUAGGUAGUUGGUGGGAUAAAAGCUUACCAAGCCGACGAUCUGUAGCUGGUCUGAGAGGACGACCAGCCACACUGGGACUGAGACACGGCCCAGACUCCUACGGGAGGCAGCAGUGGGGAAUUUUGGACAAUGGGCGAAAGCCUGAUCCAGCAAUGCCGCGUGCAGGAUGAAGGCCUUCGGGUUGUAAACUGCUUUUGUACGGAACGAAAAAGCUCCUUCUAAUACAGGGGGCCCAUGACGGUACCGUAAGAAUAAGCACCGGCUAACUACGUGCCAGCAGCCGCGGUAAUACGUAGGGUGCGAGCGUUAAUCGGAAUUACUGGGCGUAAAGCGUGCGCAGGCGGUUAUGUAAGACAGAUGUGAAAUCCCCGGGCUCAACCUGGGAACUGCAUUUGUGACUGCAUGGCUAGAGUACCGUAGAGGGGGGAUGGAAUUCCGCGUGUAGCAGUGAAAUGCGUAGAUAUGCGGAGGAACACCGAUGGCGAAGGCAUCCCCUGGACCUGUACUGACGCUCAUGCACGAAAGCGUGGGGAGCAAACAGGAUAGAUACCCUGGUAGUCCAC